GUGUGUCUCUGUCUGUCUGUGUGUCGGUCCUAGGGCUUCAACUCAAGGCCAGGGUGCUGUCCCUUAGCUUUUGUGCUCGUCUGCUAUUUGAACCACAACAGCUCUGCUUCUGCUCUUUUGCUGGUUAAUUGGAGAUAAGACUCUCACAGCCUCUCCUGCCUGGGCUGGCUUUGAACCACGACCCUCCUGAGUAGCUAGGAUUAUAGGUGUGAGCCACUAGCACCUGGCUUUCCAAUUGUCCUCUCUUAGAGAAUGCAGCUUGAGUUUUUUCCAGUUAAAUAAAAAUGGCAAGAUUAUCACCUUGAUUGUUGGUGAUGGGAGGGGGAAACACUGCCUAGAUAGCUGUUGGUGACGUGGAUAUUUUAGAUGCUCCACUCCAAUAUAAUACCCCCAGCACAAAC